rnacentral:rRNA from 1 species
AGGACUAACGCUGGCGGCGUGCCUAACACAUGCAAGUCGAACGAGAGUAGCAAUACUCUAGUGGCAGACGGGUGAGUAACACGUGGUCAACCUACCUCUAUGUGGGGGAUAACUAGCCGAAAGGUUAGCUAAUACCGCAUACGAUCGUCGAGCGGCAUCGCUUGACGAUGAAAGGAGCAAUCCGCAGAGAGACGGGACCGCGUCCCAUUAGCUAGUUGGUGGGGUAAUGGCCUACCAAGGCGACGAUGGGUAGCUGGCUUGAGAGAGCGACCAGCCACACUGGGACUGAGACACGGCCCAGACUCCUACGGGAGGCAGCAGUGAGGAAUUUUCCGCAAUGGGCGAAAGCCUGACGGAGCGACGCCGCGUGUGGGAAGAAGGCCUUCGGGUCGUAAACCACUGUCGAAGGGGAAGAGUAUUGACGGUACCCUUGGAGGAAGCCCGGCUAACUACGUGCUAGCAGCCGC